CUCUGUCCAGCCAAGUGAGUUGAGUGACUCAAGUGCACACAGCACGAAGCUGCUUUCUCCCAUCUCGGGGAGCAGCAGGUGGCUGGAUAGGAAUCGGGAAAAUCCAGUCACAGCCAACAGUUACAGUUAAAUCAACACGAAAAGCAUCCGUGGAGAUCAAGUUUGAGGUGAAAACAGGCUCAGGGUCCACCUGUCCUCGCUGAUCCAUGGAUUUCUGUGUGACCAGGUUACACCUAUGGAGCCGUGGCGCCGAC